rnacentral:rRNA from 1 species
AGCUUGCUAGAAGAUGACGAGUGGCGGACGGGUGAGUAAUGCUUGGGAACUUGCCUUUGCGAGGGGGAUAACAGUUGGAAACGACUGCUAAUACCGCAUAAUGUCUUCGGACCAAACGGGGCUUCGGCUCCGGCGCAAAGAGAGGCCCAAGUGAGAUUAGCUAGUUGGUAAGGUAACGGCUUACCAAGGCGACGAUCUCUAGCUGUUCUGAGAGGAAGAUCAGCCACACUGGGACUGAGACACGGCCCAGACUCCUACGGGAGGCAGCAGUGGGGAAUAUUGCACAAUGGGGGAAACCCUGAUGCAGCCAUGCCGCGUGUGUGAAGAAGGCCUUCGGGUUGUAAAGCACUUUCAGUUGUGAGGAAAAGUUAGUAGUUAAUACCUGCUAGCCGUGACGUUAACAACAGAAGAAGCACCGGCUAACUCCGUGCCAGCAGCCGCGGUAAUACGGAGGGUGCGAGCGUUAAUCGGAAUUACUGGGCGUAAAGCGCACGCAGGCGGUUUGUUAAGCUAGAUGUGAAAGCCCCGGGCUCAACCCGGGAUGGUCAUUUAGAACUGGCAGACUAGAGUCUUGGAGAGGGGAGUGGAAUUCCAGGUGUA